rnacentral:rRNA from 1 species
CAGCAGCCGCGGUAAUACGAAGGGGGCUAGCGUUGCUCGGAAUGACUGGGCGUAAAGGGCGCGUAGGCGGUCACGAUAGUCAGACGUGAAAUUCCUGGGCUUAACCUGGGGACUGCAUUUGAUACUGUGUGGCUUGAGUGUGGAAGAGGGUCGUGGAAUUCCCAGUGUAGAGGUGAAACUCGUAGAUAUUGGGAAGAACACCGGUGGCGAAGGCGGCGACCUGGUCCAUAACUGACGCUGAGGCGCGAAAGCGUGGGGAGCAAACAGGAUUAGAUACCCCGGUAGUCCCUGUCUCUUAUAC